rnacentral:rRNA from 1 species
GCGGCCUAUCAGCUUGUUGGUGAGGUAACGGCUCACCAAGGCUUCGACGGGUAGCUGGUCUGAGAGGAUGAUCAGCCACACUGGGACUGAGACACGGCCCAGACUCCUACGGGAGGCAGCAGUGGGGAAUCUUGCGCAAUGGGCGAAAGCCUGACGCAGCCACGCCGCGUGCGGGAUGAAGGCCUUAGGGUUGUAAACCGCUUUUAACAGGAACGAAAAUGACGGUACCUGUAGAAUAAGGUGCGGCCAACUACGUGCCAGCAGCCGCGGUGACACGUAGGCACCAAGCGUUGUCCGGAUUUAUUGGGCGUAAAGAGCUCGUAGGCGGUUCAGUAAGUCGGGUGUGAAAACUCUGGGCUUAACCCAGAGACGCCACUCGAUACUAUUGUGACUAGAGUUCGGUAGGGGAGACUGGAAUUCCU